AUAGUGGUUCGAGUUCCGGCGUAGGAUCGGUGACAGGUGCUGCAUGGCUGUCGUCAGCUCGUGCCGUGAGAUGUUGGGUUAAGUCCCGUAACGAGCGCAACCCUUGUCCUUAGUUACCAGCACGUUAUGGUGGGCACUCUAAGGAGACUGCCGGUGACAAACCGGAGGAAGGUGGGGAUGACGUCAAGUCAUCAUGGCCCUUACGGCCUGGGCUACACACGUGCUACAAUGGUCGGUACAAAGGGUUGCCAAGCCGCGAGGUGGAGCUAAUCCCAUAAAACCGAUCGUAGUCCGGAUCGCAGUCUGCAACUCGACUGCGUGAAGUCGGAAUCGCUAGUAAUCGUGAAUCAGAAUGUCACGGUGAAUACGUUCCCGGGCCUU
rnacentral:rRNA from 1 species